rnacentral:piRNA from 1 species
UGAAAACCAGAGUAAUGGGUGUGUGG